UGCUGACUGAAAGAAAUAAGCAGUUCAAAAGACAGUGCGAUAUAAAUUCAGUAUCUGGCAUCGUUGGUUUUUUUGCUUUGUGCAUGUCAGACCUGGUAUUUCUACUGAUACAGUA
ensembl:snoRNA